AGAAAUUGGUGCAGCUCUCUUGAUGCUGUCAAUAUGGGUUGUUUCAUAAACAGGCGGAUCACUUGAGUAAAAUUCCAACUCAUGAUUUGGUAAAUCAAACAGGUCUGAACUUGAAUCACUAUCUGCUCCAUCAUCAACAUCACUGAUUUUUCUGAAUUCAUUUUCUUCUGAUGGAUACUUAUCUGCCCAGUUGAUCUCUGAAUAUCCAUUCCUGAACUUGAAUUUUUCAUCCAACCAUGAAGAAGAAUAAUCAUUCUUGACGUUUCCAUUAAAUUUUUGCACAGAAAUAAUUUGCUUAUAAUCUGAAAAGUUUCUGAUUUCUUUAUACGAUUUUGUGGGAGUAUUUGCAUGAGGAGGAGGUGUUCUAAAACCUGAACUUGAAGAUGAGUAAAAGGACUUAGAAUCUGUAGUACUGCUUGCUGUUCUAAAAUGGCUAAUGCUACUUCUUCUCUUCCUUCUUCCACCAGGGCUUUCUUCUUCAUCCUUAGCCGUUUUGGCCCCGAUUUUUGAUUUCUUCUUUUUUAGUGAAGCCUGAUUGAAUAGGGAAUUCAAGAAAUGAGCAAGUCUACCACCUGGAGAGCUAGGUUGCUUGUUUUUCUUCUCUUUCAAGUUUUGCUUUUCCAUUGCAUAAGUUUGUGAUGGAAUUGAACUUCUUGUGAUAGGCAUUUCUAGGCUUAUUUGAGCAGUUCGGGGAACAGAUGUCUUUUGCGCCGAAGUUGCGCCACUGGCUGGAACUUCAUCGGUGCCACCACCGGAAAAGUAUCGGGCAGCCUCGAAAACAUCGAGCUC
rnacentral:lncRNA from 1 species